UACGGAGGAUGCGAGCGUUAUCCGGAUUUAUUGGGUUUAAAGGGUGCGUAGGCGGCCAUUUAAGUCAGCGGUGAAAUUUUGCAGCUUAACUGUAACAGUGCCGUUGAUACUGGGGAGCUAGGAUUUGGUUGCUGUGGGUGGAAUGUGUGGUGUAGCGGUGAAAUGCUUAGAGAUCACACAGAAUAUCGAUUGCGAAGGCAGCUCACAAAGCCAAGAUUGACGCUGAGGCACGAAAGUGUGGGGAUCAAACAGGA
rnacentral:rRNA from 1 species